AGUCGAGCGAGAAGUAUCUUCGGAUAUGAUUAGAGCGGCAGACGGGAGAGUAACGCGUAAGAAUCUACCUAAUAGAAGGGGAUAGCCCGAGGAAACUCGGAUUAAUACCGUAUACCUCCUUCGGGAGAGAGAAGGACUCUUCUUUGAAGCUUUCGCUACUAGAUGAGCCUGCGUAAGAUUAGCUUGGUGGUGAGGUAGAGGCUCACCAGGGCGACGAUCUUUUGCGGGUCUGAGAGGACGAUCCGCCCCAUUGGGGCUGAGACACGGGCCAUACUCCUACGGGAGGCAGCAGUGGGGAAUAUUGGACGAUGGGCGCAAGCCUGAUCCAGCCAUACCGCGUGUGUGAAGAAGGCCUUAGGGUUGUAAAGCACUUUAAGUUGGGAAGAAAGGUUAUUGGCUAAUACCCAAUAGCUGUGACAUUACCAUCAGAAUAAGGACCGGAUAAUUCGGUGCCAGCAGCCGCGGUAAUACGGAAGGUCCAAGCGUUAAUCGGAAUUGCUGGGCGUAAAGCGCGCGUAGGUGGGAUAUUAAGUUGGAUGUGAAAUCCCCGGGCUCAACCUGGCAGCUGUAUUCAAAACUGGUUCACUAUACUACGAAAGAGGGAGGUAGAACUCGCAGUGUAGCGGGGGAAUGCGUAAAUAUUGUGAAGAAUACCAAUGGCGAAGGCAGCCUCCUGGAUCUGUGCUGACACUGAGGUGACAAAGCGUGGGUAGCGAACAGGAUUAUAUACCCUGGUAGUCCCCGCCGAAAACGAUGUCAACUAGCUGUGGGAAAGCACUGCUUUUCGGUGGCGCCUCUAACGAUAUUAAGUUGACCCCCUGGG
rnacentral:rRNA from 1 species